rnacentral:tRNA from 1 species
GCGGGAGUAGCUCAGCGGUAGAGCAUCAGCCUUCCAAGCUGAGGGUCGCGGGUUCGAAACCCGUCUCCCGCU